AACCCCCAAUAACCAACUUAAUAGACAUUAACCUAUCAUUCACUCGCCUAACCUCGACCACGGACUCCCUUAGAUCCCUAUCUACCAAGAUACCCACUUCAAUCUUACCUCUCACGACCCCAGAAUACCACAACUUAAACCCGUCUACAUUCAUCGCCUUCGACCCUUUCCACCUAGUCUCCAGGACACAUGCUAUGUUAACCCUCUUCUUCUGAAGAACCUUCGCCAACUCAAUGGACUUACCCGNN
rnacentral:lncRNA from 1 species